CAAAUCAAUCUUAUUAGUUAAGGUUUUCAUUUACACUGAAAUAAAUGUCGUGCAAGUCGAUAUGAUUUGA
rnacentral:tRNA from 1 species